rnacentral:lncRNA from 12 species
AUGACCUGUUCGGAUGCUCUCGGCUGCACGCACUUUCUGGAAACCUGGGAUGGCCAUUACACCUGUUUCACAGACGGGGGGGCCAGCUCAGACAAGCCAGUGGAGGUGCCAGCAUGGGACUGGGCAGAUGUCUCAUCCAGAUGCCUUCCUACCUUCCUCCUGGCGGCUCCGGACAGGUGUGUCUGGGUCGGGCGUCCUCCCUCUGAGCACCCCAGACAGACUGAGCGGGGAGUGUUUGCAGCACGGGUCUGCCCAUGCUGAGGUCCUGGGGGACCCAUGUGCCCCGUCCCCACCCCAGCCCUGUGUCCCGGAGCCUGAGAGAGGACAGUCACCAUCAGGGAGGUGUGUGGGUGGCCACAGCUUUGCGGUCCUCUCUUGCCCAGCAUGGUGGGCUUCCAGGAUGCCGUCUCCUCUGAAUUCCAGUUUGCAGUGUCCAGACACUGUGGAGGGGGCCUGAGGCAGUGACCUUUGUUGGGGGACCAGAGCCUGCAAGGUGUCCUCCAUGUGUCUGUGGUCCUACUGGCUGUCCCCUCUAAGACCCAGGGGACAGGCCUGCUUAGCCAGGAGCCAGGAACUCGCACAGGGGCUGGACUUCCUCCUAGAGAAGUGGACAACUGAGGCUCAGAGAAGGUGAGUGACUUGCUCAACAUCACAGAGCUGACGAGUGGGGAGGUGGGAGUUUUGGGAUGAGCUUUUUAUGUUCUGCUGGACACUGCCCACAGCAGGUGCCCUCGUGAUGGGAGAAGGGGCCGAGAGCCUUCUUCUAGCUGUGCUGAGCCCCAGCCUGGAGCCCCUGUCCCACUUCCCCUGCUGAGGGUGGAGGCCGAGACUUCCCCUGGCUGUGUGGACGUGGACAGAAGGCCACACACCCACAAUCUCCACCGAACCAGGACAUCACAGGAGGCCCUGCCACUCUGAGCCUUUGGCCCCUUCUGCACCUGUUAGUGGCCUCAUUCCCUUUAUCCAGGGUGACCAUAGCACCAGUGGGCGGGUGGGUCAGAGAUGGCCCCGAGUCUCUCCUUUGAUGGGGGACCUGGCUCUGAGCCCCACCAGCAUCGUGCCCGCACAGGCAGGGGCCUCGUCCCUCCUCCUGGCCCUUCCCUGCUCCCAGAAGGCCCGAUAGACCAUCCUGGUUGCGCCAUCUGUUUCCUGCCUCUUUCAAGAAGGCCGUCCCGCCCUGGCCCUGGCAGCAGAAGCCCCUCAUCUCCCGUCCCCACGCCCCUCUGUGUCAAGGGUCCUGGCCCUGGGAUGGCCGGCUUCACCCGACCAAGGGCCGGGCUGCCUACUGGGAUCCUUCAGCUCCUCUGACGGGGCCUCCACCCUUCUGGCGUCCAUCCCCUGCCCCUGCCCUGUCCCAUUGUCUUUCCCCAGAAGCAGGGUGUGGGGCAGCCCUGGAGCCCGGGACCAUUAGUGCUGAUUCCUUUUCCUGAUGUGGAGCCGAUGACAAUGAGGUCCUCCCCCCUCCCCCCGCCCAUGUGCACAGGGAGCCCCGAGCUUUCUCUGCCCUGGGAACAGGGACUGGCAGUCUCACCCUGUAUUCAGAGGAGGAAACUGAGCCUCCCUCAGACCCAGGCCUUCUGCUCCCAGCCUGCAAGCGGCUCCACUUGGGCGUUCGGAAGAUUAGUUUGCAAGGACUUUUCCUUCAGAGAUUAAAAGCCCCGGACUUGGCUAAGCUUGGGACGCAGAGUCCCUCUUGGGGCAGAGCCAGGGAGCCUCUUGGUCCUACUCUAGCAAGCAGCAACAGACACUGCCAGCCUUGCAACUGGUCACACUCUCGACACAACAGGAUUUAAUCUGAAAUCGAUGUGGUUCUGUCAACCUGGUCUUGGCAUGAAGCCGCCUGCGAGGCUGUGUUCCUGCAUCCACGCUGCAGACACAGAUUGGGCCUGGAGCAGACAGGGACAGUGCCCACACCCACAGUGUGCCUGGGCUGGGGGGCAUCUGACCCCAACCGAAUAAAGUACUGGGAGCAAGAUGGGGACA